rnacentral:tRNA from 1 species
GCGCCCGUAGCUCAACGGAUAGAGCGCCUGGCUUCGGACCAGGAGGUUGUGGGUUCGAAUCCUGCCGGGCGCG